UGGGCUGUGCCUCAGCCACAGCUUCCAUAGAACUUCUUCUACUGCCUUGUCUAGGUUCCAUUACUCACUGCUUGCUCAGCCCUUCUGAGCCUGCAGGUUGCCAAGUGUCGACUGAAAUUUUUCCCUAAGGCUAUAGACCAUUUUCAAAGGCAAGAUCUUCUUCUGGAUCUUCUUGUUCCCAUUCCCUUCUUAUUACAGUAGCUUUCCCCGUCUUGCUUCAGGAUCCAGUUUUGUUUUCCUGUACUUUAUGGAAAAGGCAGUGAGAACUUUGGGAAUGAUUUUCCAACCUCCUUGGAAAACGCUGGACCACCAAUAAACUGUGAUUCUGAGCCAUCAUUUCUGGAUAGUGCAAAACUGCUUUCAUUAAAAUGAGCUUUGGAGUAACUUGCUAGCCUUUUUAAAUUGAGGUUGAAAUACCUAAAUUAUAAAAGUCAGUGAUGUGAUUUAGAAUUUUGGAGAUGUUUUAUCUUGAGGAACAAUGAAGUAGCUGGUAGGAAAUAUAUACUGCAUUAUCAGAGGAAGGGACACUUCCAAGAUGUGCUUUGGUGGAACACAUCUCUAGAGAGUCUGAAGCCAAGCUUCAAGCCUACCUGAGCUGUCUCCUUCUGUUUAAUACUGCUCAAAUGAGCCCCGCACUUCCCAGCAUAAAUUAUAAAGGCAAAGAUUAUACUUACUUUGGAAAUGCUUGAAGA